UACGUAGGGUGCAAGCGUUGUCCGGAAUUAUUGGGCGUAAAGAGCUCGUAGGCGGUCUGUUGCGUCGGCUGUGAAAACCCGGGGCUCAACUCCGGGCCUGCAGCCGAUACGGGCAGACUAGAGUUCGGCAGGGGAGACUGGAAUUCCUGGUGUAGCGGUGAAAUGCGUAGAUAUCAGGAAGAACACCGAUGGCGAAGGCAGCUCUCUGGGACGGUACUGACGCUGAGACGCGAAAGCGUGGGGAGCAAACAGG
rnacentral:rRNA from 1 species